rnacentral:misc_RNA from 1 species
GAUGAAGAACGUAGCGAAAUGCGAUAAGUAGUGUGAAUUGCAGAAUUCAGUGAAUCAUCGAAUCUUUGAACGCACAUUGCGCCCCUUGGUAUUCCAUGGGGCAUGCCUGUUCGAGCGUCAAUUGUACCUUCAAGCUCUGCUUGGUGUUGGGUGUUUGUCUCGCCUCUGCGUGUAGACUCGCCUCAAAACAAUUGGCAGCCGGCGUAUUGAUUUCGGAGCGCAGUACAUCUCGCGCUUUGCACUCAUAACGACGACGUCCAAAAGUACAUUUUUACACUCUUGACCUCGGAUCAGGUAGGGAUACCCGCUGAACUUAAGCAUAUCAAUAAGCGGAGGA